rnacentral:rRNA from 1 species
AGCGAACGCUGGCGGCAGGCUUAACACAUGCAAGUCGAACGCUCGUCUUCGGACGGGAGUGGCAGACGGGUGAGUAACACGUGGGAACGUACCCUUUGGUUCGGAAUAACGCAGGGAAACUUGCGCUAAUACCGGAUACGCCCUUUUGGGGAAAGGUUUACUGCCGAAGGAUCGGCCCGCGUCUGAUUAGCUAGUUGGUGGGGUAACGGCCUACCAAGGCGACGAUCAGUAGCUGGUCUGAGAGGAUGAUCAGCCACACUGGGACUGAGACACGGCCCAGACUCCUACGGGAGGCAGCAGUGGGGAAUAUUGGACAAUGGGCGCAAGCCUGAUCCAGCCAUGCCGCGUGAGUGAUGAAGGCCUUAGGGUUGUAAAAUUCUUUUAGUGGAGAAGAUAAUGACGGUAUCCACAGAAAAAGUCCCGGCUAACUUCGUGCCAGCCGCCGCAGUAAAAC